AUUGAACGCUGGCGGCAGGCAUAACACAUGCAAGUCGAGCGGAGCGGCGGACGGGUGAGUAAUGCCUAGGAAUCUGCCUGGUAGUGGGGGAUAACGUCCGGAAACGGGCGCUAAUAUCGCAUACUAUCAGAUGAGCCUAGGUCGGAUUAGCUAGUUGGUGGGGUAAAGGCAUAACAAGGCGACGAUCCGGAACUGGUCUGAGAGGAUGAUCCGGCACACUGGAACUUAGACACGGUCCAGACUCCUACGGGAGGCAGCAGUGGGGAAUAUUGUACAAUGGGCGAAAGCCGUAUCCAGCCAGGCCGCGUGUGUGAAGAAGGUCUUCGGAUUGUAAAGCACUUUAAGUUGGGAGGCGUUACCAACAGAAUAAGCACCGGCUAACUUCGUGCCAGCCGCCGCGGUAAUUC
rnacentral:rRNA from 1 species